AUGGCGUGGAAUUUGCAAGAGCAGACUCUUCACAUGAACUGCAGAAGAUGCUUAAUGCCAAAGCUAUGCAAAAGGGGUAUUGCACUUAUGAACUGUGAUAUUGGCAGCCUUAAGAUUGGUUCCACUUCCACGUGGAUGCAUGCUAUUCCCUCUAGGUUUUCUACAUACUUAGUUGUAUAUGCACAGUACAAAGAGCAUGAAACGGUAACUUCCGAGUGGAAGUUCAGUUAUGUAAUUCACUACUUGGCGAAACCUAACACAGGGACACAGCAUGAUAGGGUGGUUUCCGUCAAACUGUCCUAA
rnacentral:rRNA from 1 species